AAAAAGAGAGCCACGGGCUCUUCCUUCUCCCCACUUUCAUAACGACGCAGGAAGCUUUCCAGGGGAGGAAAGGAGAGAAACCAUACGUUGACGGUAAAAUCAAUUUGCCGUAACUUCUUCGUCCGAGCUCCAAUCGCCGCACCGUUUGCGGCCACGCGUUCACCGUGUUGAGCUCUACAUUUCUACCGGAACAAUUUCAUAGGAUCCAAUUAGCUUGAGAGAAACGUUCACUCUUGCUUAUGUGAAGCUUGGGUAAGGUUGUGAAUAAAUAAUUAGAGCUUGAAAUUGUGAAUACUGAAACUUGGAGGAAGCAGAUUAGUUGAGAUUUUGAGGGCUAUGUUCUUUUAGGAAAAUUGUCUUGGAAUAAUACUUGGGAAUCGGCUAAGAUGCAGGUCGAGAGGCAUCUCGUUAGGCGUCUGGACUCUUGAAGCGGAGUGGUUAC